CCAGUAGCUGGUAAGAGAAAGAAAGGUAGAUGCCUUGAACUGAGGUAUCUAAAUAACAAUUUGAUUAUGCGCUGUUGACAAGUAUCAGCAUGUCCCUACAGGCAUUUUCCUGUGAUAUUUGUAGCAACAGGUACUUGUCUGACAUACUGUCUGUGGACCAGUGUGCACUUAUGUAAAGAUUACAGCAUAGGCUCAACGUCUACCCUCCAAGUGAUGCAGCUUCCCUUUUUCUUUCCCUUUAACUAAUCCUUUAAGAAGGAUCAGGAGGGUCCUUCUGCUGCUGCUCUCAGUCAUGCAGUCCCUCCCUGUAAGGUGCUAAGGACUUAAGGAAACACAGCUUGGACACAUUUGAGAAAACUAGAUUCACUCAAAGGAGGGUAUGGGGUUGGUUUGGGUUUAAUAAUGUAACAACUUCAUGGGCAUCUACAACAGAAAUCACAAUUCAGCAUGCUGUUAUGAGCCAUGGGAAACGGUUACUGCCCUGGCACAGUGCCCAGGCGUCCUUUUCUUUCAUUCUCUCCAGGCUCCUCUGAGAUGUCCUUUCAACAUUACAAAGCUCUGAGCAGCUUAUGGCCAACUCCGCUCAUCUUCUCAACUUUGAGAAAUUUUCUUCAUAUUUUACAACCAGCCACCUGGUUUGUAAGGUGGUUAACUAAAACUGAGAGAAGCCACAUUUGGGACAGAGGUCAUUCAGCUGAAAUCACUUAUCCUUGUGGAUGUAAGCUUGGAGUUGUAUUCUACUUCACUGAUCUCUUCUGCACAGCAACGUUUAACCUCAUGUCUCCCACGUGGCAGAAAGAAUAUGUGGUCAGCGAGACCUUCACCUCUAUUUCAUGAUGAAGCUGGUGCUCCCCAAGCCUUGGCAGUGGGAUAUGCGAUGUGGAUAUAUCAGUUGGGGAUGAGCAUCCAAUGGUCAGUGUUUUUCUGAAUUUUGGCCAAUUGUAGAUGUUUGUAAUAGUUUCACUUACUAACAAAAGUUCUGAUUAGGGCUAAGAAGUAUACUUAUCUGUGGGUAUAAGGAUAAGUAUUUAGAAUACAGUUAGAAAUUGUAUUGGCUUGGGAAAUCAUAGUCAGUUCCUUUUAGGGUCAGUGACAGUAACCAGCCACAGGUAGGUGGAUAGGUUUACAGCUCCAGACAUGAAUCCCCUCCUGAAGAGUGGGCUUUAUGUCUAAUUAGUUUUUGUUAGAUAGCCUAUGGCUCCUGGGAGCAUUUUUACCCCAGGUGCUGUAUCUCUACCCUGUAUCUCUGUAUCUAAAUAUGAACCUGGCAUCGGCAAGUUAGAACAUGUAGCCUUUGUCUUUCUGAGUCUGGGUUACCUCAAUCAGUAGAAGAUUUUCUCUAAUUUCACCCACUUAUCCACUCACCUUCAAAUUCUAUAUUUUUGUUUAUAUCUGAAUAGAUUUUCACUGUGAAGAUGUAUCAUUUCCCUUAUCUAUUUAUCAGUUGAAGGACAUUUGGGUUGUUUCCGUUUUCAUAGCUAUUGUGACUAGAGUGCCACUGAGUAUGGCAGAAGCAGUUAUCUCUGGAGGAUAAUAUCAAGUCCUUUAAGUUUCUGAAGAAAGAGGUUGUGGAAGACACUAAAGAUAGAAAGACAUCCCGUGUUCAUAGUUUGGCAGAAGUAAUAUUGUAAGAACAAACAUCUUACCAGAAGCAAUCUACAGACUCAAUGCAAUCCCAACCAAAAUCCCCACAACGUUCUUCACAGAAAUAGAAAAUUUCCUAAAAUUUAUAUGAAAACAUAGACCCCAGAUAGCCAAAGCAAUUUUGAGAAAAAAAGAACUAUGCUGGAGGGAUGACAAGCAAUAUUACAGAGCCAUAGUAAUAAAAACCAGCAUGUUACUUGGUACAAAGACAGGCAUGUAGACCAAUGGAACAAAAGACAAGAUCCGAACACAAGUGCACAUAACUAGUGCCAUCUGAUAUUUGAUAAAGAUGUCAAAAAUGCACACUGGGAUAAAAGGCAGCAUCUUCAACAAACAGUGCAGGGGAAACUGGAUGUCUACAUAUGGAAGAAGAAAAUUAGACUUGUAUUGUUACCUUGCCUGGAUCAAAAUCAACUACAAAUCGAUCAAAGAUGCCAGUGGGAAACAUGAAAGGCUGAAACUUCUAGAAGAAAACAUAGUGCCCUACAAGAUACAGGUGUAGGAAAGGACUUUGAGAACAGGAUAGUAUUUCCUUAGGAAUUAAGACCAACAACAGACAAAGCAGACACAGAACCAACAGUUCUGUACAACAAAAGAAAUAAUCAAGGGAAGAGGAUGCCUACAGAGUUGGAGAGAACCUUUGCAACUACUUAUCUAGUAGACUAUCGCUGUUCAUGAUAUAUAAAGUAGACUACUGCUGUUCAUGAUAUAUAAAGAACUUUAAUUCAGAAAUCUAACAACCCAACUUAAAAAUGGCUGCAGAUCUAGAUUCUCCAAAGAGGCAAUAUAAAUGGCUGAGAAAUAUCUUUUUAAGUGUUCAACACCCUUAGCAAUUAGAAAAAUGAAAAUUAAAACUACUUUGAGAUCUCAUCUCACCCCAGUCAGAACAGUGAAAACCAACGAAAGGAGUGAUAACAAAUGCUGGGCAGGAUGUGGGGAAGGAUGAACCUUCAUUCACUGAUCGUAAGAUUGCAAACUGGCACCUCUCAGAAUCAGUGUGAAGAAUUCGCAAAACGCUAAAAGUAGGUCUCCCCUCCAACCCCAGCUAUACCACCUUUUUCAUCCUUAAGCCAUUCCACAAACUUCUCACCCCUUUGAGUGGAAGAAAUUUUAAUAAAUAGGCUGGAAGUAAACAAACGACUUUCACACCCAGGCCUCGGGGGUUUUCUUUCUGUUUCCUGUAGACAGUGUUUGCCUAAGUUCCUGGUACAGGAAGAGAUCUUGUUUCCACUCAUAGAAUAUCAGGAUAACACAAACUCGAUAGAUUAUGAUGGGAGCUAGCAACUAAAGGAAUGUUCAGUCUUAUGUCCAAGUGAUAGGCUCUUGUAGAAACUGCACACAAUAAAAAUAAAAUAAAAGUACAAUACAAUGAAAGUAAAAGAUGGUGUGGAACCAGCUGGUUGUCCAGUGUCAAAUGGUCAGCUGUAAAAAAUACAAGUAACAUUAUAUAGAGUCAACAGAUUAUACUUAAGAAUAUAUAUGUAUUUAUACAUAUAGCAUGUGAUAACAAUUAAUGAAAAAAAAGAGACCAUGAGCUUGAAAAAGAACAGGGAGCAAUGUAACAGGAAGGUUUAGAGGGAGGAAGGAAAAAGAAGAAAUGUAUACAUUUUAAUCUCAUAAUAAAAAUGUUUUUCAAAAA
rnacentral:sRNA from 1 species